rnacentral:rRNA from 1 species
GAUGAACGCUGGCGGCGUGCCUAAUACAUGCCAGUCGAGCGAACAGACGAGGAGCUUGCUCCUCUGACGUUAGCGGCGGACGGGUGAGUAACACGUGGAUAACCUACCUAUAAGACUGGGAUAACUUCGGGAAACCGGAGCUAAUACCGGAUAAUAUAUUGAACCGCAUGGUUCAAUAGUGAAAGACGGUUUUGCUGUCACUUAUAGAUGGAUCCGCGCCGCAUUAGCUAGUUGGUAAGGUAACGGCUUACCAAGGCAACGAUGCGUAGCCGAGCUGAGCGGGUGAUCGGCCACACUGGAACUGAGACACGGUCCAGACUCCUACGGGAGGCAGCAGUAGCGAAUCUUCGGCAAUGGGCGGAAGCAUGACGCAGCAACGCCGCGUGAGUGAUGAAGGUCUUCGGAUCGUAAAGCCCUGUUUUUGGGGAAGAACAAAUGUGGAAUUAACUGUGCACGUCUUGACGGUACCUAAUCAGAAAGCCACGGCUAACUACGUG